rnacentral:rRNA from 1 species
GACGAACCGUGCGAACGUUGUUCGGAUUCACUGGGCUUAAAGGGCGCGUAGGCGGGCGACCAAGUCAGGGGUGAAAUCUUUCGGCCCAACCGGAAAAGUGCCCCUGAUACUGGCCGCCUCGAGGGGGUAGGGCAUGCGGAACUUCCGGUGGAGCGGUGAAAUGCGUAGAUAUCGGAAGGAACACCGGUGGCGAAAGCGGCGCGCUGGGCCU